rnacentral:tRNA from 1 species
GUGUAGCUCAGUGACAGGGCAAAUGUCUAGCAUGCAUGAGACCCUGGGUUAGAACCCCAGUAC